CCAAUAGCGUAUAUUAAAGUUGUUGCAGUUAAAAAGCUCGUAGUUGAACCUUAGGCCCGUGCGGGUGGUCCGUCCUCAGGGCGAGCACUGCCUCGUCGCGGGUCUCACCUUCUGGCGAGCGUGGAUGCCAUUCACUUGGUGUCCGCGGGAACCAGGACCUUUACCUUGAAAAAAUUAGAGUGCUCAAAGCGGGCUUCUACGCUUGAAUACAUUAGCAUGGAAUAAUGAAAUAGGACGACGGUUCUAUUUUGUUGGUUUCCGGGACAGUCGUAAUGAUUAAUAGGGAUAGUUGGGGGCAUUCGUAUUCAAUUGUCAGAGGUGAAAUUCUUGGAUUUAUUGAAGACGGACUACUGCGAAAGCAUUUGCCAAGGAUGUUUUCAUUAAUCAAGAACGAAAGUUGGGGGAUCGAAGACGAUCAGAUACCGUCGUAGUCUCAACCAUAAACUAUGCCGACUGGGAAUCGGGCGAUGUUAUUUUUUGUGACUCGCUCGGCGCCCCAAG
rnacentral:rRNA from 1 species